UGGGGAAUUUUGGACAAUGGGCGAAAGCCUGAUCCAGCCAUGCCGCGUGCAGGAUGAAGGCCUUCGGGUUGUAAACUGCUUUUGUACAGAACGAAAAGACUCCUUCUAAUAAAGGGGGUCCAUGACGGUACCGUAAGAAUAAGCACCGGCUAACUACGUGCCAGCAGCCGCGGUAAUACGUAGGGUGCAAGCGUUAAUCGGAAUUACUGGGCGUAAAGCGUGCGCAGGCGGUUAUAUAAGACAGAUGUGAAAUCCCCGGGCUCAACCUGGGAACUGCAUUUGUGACUGUAUAGCUAGAGUACGGUAGAGGGGGAUGGAAUUCCGCGUGUAGCAGUGAAAUGCGUAGAUAUGCGGAGGAACACCGAUGGCGAAGGCAAUCCCC
rnacentral:rRNA from 1 species